GACGAACGCUGGCGGCGUGCUUAACACAUGCAAGUCGAACGGAAAGGCCCUGCUUUUGUGGGGUGCUCGAGUGGCGAACGGGUGAGUAACACGUGAGUAACCUGCGCUUGACUUUGGGAUAACUUCAGGAAACUGGGGCUAAUACCGGAUAGGAGCUCCUGCUGCAUGGUGGGGGUUGGAAAGUUUCGGCGGUUGGGGAUGGACUCGCGGCUUAUCAGCUUGUUGGUGGGGUAGUGGCUUACCAAGGCUUUGACGGGUAGCCGGCCUGAGAGGGGGACCGGCCACAUUGGGACUGAGGGACGGCCCAGACUCCUACGGGAGGCAGCAGUGGGGAAUAUGGCACAAUGGGCGGAAGCCUGAUGCAGCAACGCCGCGUGCGGGAUGACGGCCUUCGGGUUGUAAACCGCUUUCGCCUGUGACGAAGCGUGAGUGACGGUAAUGGGUAAAGAAGCACCGGCUAACUACGUG
rnacentral:rRNA from 1 species